rnacentral:rRNA from 1 species
ACCGGAUAGGACGAAAGUUUAAAGGUGCUUCUGGCACCGCUGAUGGAUGAGCCUGCGGCGCAUUAGCUAGUUGGUAGGGUAAAGGCCUACCAAGGCGACGAUGCGUAGCCGACCUGAGAGGGUGAACGGCCACACUGGGACUGAGACACGGCCCAGACUCCUACGGGAGGCAGCAGUAGGGAAUCUUCGGCAAUGGGCGAAAGCCUGACCGAGCAACGCCGCGUGAAUGAUGAAGGCCUUCGGGUUGUAAAAUUCUGUUAUAAGGGAAGAACGACUUUAGUAGGAAAUGGCUAGAGUGUGACGGUACCUUAUGAGAAAGCCACGGCUAACUACGUGCCAGCAGCCGCGGUAAUACGUAGGUGGCGAGCGUUAUCCGGAAUUAUUGGGCGUAAAGAGCGCGCAGGUGGUUGAUUAAGUCUGAUGUGAAAGCCCACGGCUUAACCGUGGAGGGUCAUUGGAAACUGGUCGACUUGAGUGCAGAAGAGGGAAGUGGAAUUCCAUGUGUAGCGGUGAAUGCGUAGAGAUAUGGAGGA